AUGAUAUCCCGGCACCAAGGCGUCACGACAUCUCCCUCCCGUCUGCUUUGUCUUGAUCUGGGCCCUUUGCUCGCUGUCAAGGUGGAGACGAGAAUGCAGUGUAGGACGCAUCCCAAGACGUUCCUUGCAGCGGCGAGGUGCCCUUUCUGUUUCCACCUUCUUUCUUUCGUGGAUGUCGUGUCUUCUUUGCCUGUGAGAGCCCAGAUCUGGCUAUGGUUUGUACUGAUCAUCGUUCCAGAGAAGAGACAGGAAGAGAUUGAUUCCUGCAUUAAGAAUCUGUCCAAAGACACCAAGCUUGGAACAUUUGGCACACUGGCAUCAUGCAAAGGUCCCUAUGUUGCGGAGGAAGCAGUGGCCCUAUGUUGA
rnacentral:rRNA from 1 species